UACGGAGGGUGCAAGCGUUAUCCGGAUUCACUGGGUUUAAAGGGUGCGUAGGUGGAAUGGUAAGUCAGUGGUGAAAUCUCCAAGCUUAACUUGGAACUGCCGUUGAUACUAUCAUUCUUGAAUAUCGUGGAGGUGAGCGGAAUAUGUCAUGUAGCGGUGAAAUGCUUAGAUAUGGCAUAGAACACCGAUUGCGAAGGCAGCUCACUACGCGAUUAUUGACACUGAGGCACGAAAGCGUGGGGAUCAAACAGG
rnacentral:rRNA from 1 species